rnacentral:miRNA from 1 species
UUUCGGUAAUUAUGGAAAUGUUCAA